rnacentral:rRNA from 1 species
UAGGGAGGGUGCAAGCGUUAAUCGGAAUUACUGGGCGUAAAGCGCACGCAGGCGGUUGGAUAAGUUAGAUGUGAAAGCCCCGGGCUCAACCUGGGAAUUGCAUUUAAAACUGUCCGGCUAGAGUCUUGUAGAGGGGGGUGGAAUUCCAGGUGUAGCGGUGAAAUGCGUAGAGAUCUGGAGGAAUACCGGUGGCGAAGGCGGCCCCCUGGACAAAGACUGACGCUCAGGUGCGAAAGCGUGGGGAGCAAACAGG